CAUCCUAUUGCAUUACUAUUGGCAGUAGGCAACCGCUUUGUUAGUUUAUUGGACAGAGUGGAUGUCCAUCAGGGUCACGCUUGCCGGGCAACGAGAGGCAAAAUAAGAGGGAAGACGACUUUCCUCCCAUGAGCCAAUGGGGCCAGCUGGGAUACUCGUAGACCCCUGGGAGAGGCGCAGGGCUCGCCUAUUCCACGGAACGCCGGGAAAGGGUCACCUCCAGAUGAAGUUUCCGGUUCCGGUGUUAGCGGCGGUGGAAUUGCCAUGGUAACGCGGUUGGCUCGCGUUUGGUGCCGGUCUCUCGGGAGGUAGCGAGGCUAGGCCGGGCCGGUAUCCGCCUCUCCCAGCUUAGAUUCAUUGAUUCGAGGUAAAUCAGAGGAACAAGCAACAUGAACAGAAAUAUGUAGAAAAUGCUAUUAUGCCGAAGCGUAAUUGUUGUUUCAGAAGUUCAGCAUCUGGUGCACUUAACAAUAGAGAAUAUAUUAAAUUCUUUCCAAAAUAACCUUUCAUUCAUGCCUAUAUUGCCAUCUCUGUAGUUGGUGAACAGAGCAGAUGGAGUCGAGUAAAUUUGCACAAACGUUUCCGUUUGGAUGAUGACAAGCCUGACUGCCGAAGCUGGUGCACUCAUCCCGUCAGCAUGGUGCUAGCCGAGACCUCUGAAAUACUCAAGGACAUCAGGAUGUGUGUGCCGCCUUCUCUCUCGCCUAUUUAUAGCAGCUGCUUCUGUCUGCGGAAUAGGGCUUUUCAAUUAACCAGGAGGUACAUUUAGUGACACCGGCAGGUUUUCUCUGUAUACCAAAUCUGCAACAUCAAAGAAGAAAUUGAGGAUAAAAAUUCUUUAAAACCUUAGGCCAGGUGCUGCAGCUAUUGCAAUUGCAAGUGACUUGUGGCAGUCGGUCGGAAAACAUUUCUUCUGCAUGUGUUCAGUGCCAGUUGUUGGCAGUAGGAUUCUAAGGUUUCGGAACUACCGCAAUGAAACAAUGUUCUCUAUUAGGGAAGUGUCCUGAGCUGUCAAGAAUUGUCAUCAAGAAAAGCAGGUUUUGUAAGAUACAUGGACCUAUUUGAUACCAGCCCCUGCCACUUGGAUAGAGGCUUCCCUAAAGAGCCCAGUGCCGAUGGCUCAUAGGGAAUGGGUGGGGAUGAUGCAAUACCCUGCAUGGGUUCCGGUGCCCUAAAGAGGGUGCCAAGGCCACGCCUCUGCGAGUCUGCCAGGGCUGGGCUCAGAGCCUCCCGGCUUCCUGGGCACUCUGCCUAUCACAUAGCAUUUCUAAGAUGAUCACAUGUUCAGAACAGCCACGCUUGUCAAAGCAAGGAGAGGAUGCUUCAGGAAUUUUCAAAAACAUGUCUCUAGGGAUUAAAAAAAACCCGCAAAGCUUCAUUUUCCUCCUUAGUGGGAAGUCUUCCUUACAGCCUUUUCCUGGUUAGUGUCUGUCGUGAAGCAUUUUUUGGAAUCAGAGUAAGUGGAGGAUUUAAUUUACGAUGGUAGUACACAUUUGCACUGAACCUCAAGUUUGUUGUGCAUUUCAUCAUCUUUAUGUGAAUCUCAUGACAGCUCUUACAGGGAAAACAGGAAGAACUGGCCGCAUUUUAUAAAUGUGGAGACAGGAGGAGGUGAGAUGGCUCGCCUCUGCCCAGCCAACCGGGGAAUGCACAGCCCAGAGAGACAGCAAGUCAGAAGAUGCUGAUCCAGGGAGGUUUUCACUCUGCCACCCACCCCAUCGUUGGAAACACCGACAUUAUCAAGGCUGCAUUUAUAUUUCAAAACAAAAACAAGCAAACAUGCCAGGUUCUUAGUAUGCUGUUGUUUUAACCAAAUGAUACAGCUCAAGAGUGAGCAGCCAUCAGUGCUAUGAGUGAAGAGCAAGCCCAUAUCUUGUGUGUUUAGCAACCGAGGAGGCAGCUGAACGUGGAAGUGACUUUCCUGAUGAGAAAACCAAUGUUGUAAAAGGUCACAUGGCUUGUGACCAUUCACUCAGAUACACAAGUAGCAAAGCUGGUCCUAAAAAGUGAAUAUCUCCAUUGCUCUGAACUGGUGCUCUGCACUGGACCAGCAACAGAAGGGACGGUCAUCUCUGUGCGCCACAGUCCCCUGACACAGAAUUAUUGCACCCUGACCUCCUUGGAGGUGGUAGUCUAUGCCUCAUUCUUCUUCAUAUUCCCAGAGACUGGCUAUAGUAGAUGCUCAGGAACGUUUGAUGAAAGACUGAAA